rnacentral:rRNA from 1 species
GAUGAACGCUGGCGGCGUGCCUAAUACAUGCCAGUCGAGCGAACGGACGAGAAGCUUGCUUCUCUGAUGUUAGCGGCGGACGGGUGAGUAACACGUGGAUAACCUACCUAUAAGACUGGGAUAACUUCGGGAAACCGGAGCUAAUACCGGAUAAUAUUUUGAACCGCAUGGUUCAAAAGUGAAAGACGGUCUUGCUGUCACUUAUAGAUGGAUCCGCGCUGCAUUAGCUAGUUGGUAAGGUAACGGCUUACCAAGGCAACGAUGCAUAGCCGACCUGAGAGGGGAAUCGGCCACACUGGACCGGAGACACGGUCCAGACUCCAAGGGGAGGCAGCAGUAGGAAAUCUUCCGCAAGGGGCGAAAGCCUGACGAGGCAACGCGGCGUGAGUGAGGAAGGUCUUCGGAUCGUAAACCCCUGUUAUUAGGAAAGAACAUAUGUGUAAGUAACUGUGCAAAUCUGGACGUUACCAAUCAGAAAGCCACGGCUAACUACGUG